rnacentral:rRNA from 1 species
UACGUAGGGUGCGAGCGUUGUCCGGAAUUAUUGGGCGUAAAGCGCGCGUAGGCGGGUGGGUAAGUCCGCUGUGAAAGCCCGGAGCUCAACUCCGGAGGGUCGGUGGAUACUGCCCAUCUUGAAGGUGCUAGGGGGAGAUGGAAUUACCGGUGUAGCGGUGAAAUGCGUAGAGAUCGGUAGGAACACCAGUGGCGAAGGCGGUCUCCUGGAGCAUACUUGACGCUGAGGCGCGAAAGCUGGGGGAGCGAACGGG